rnacentral:rRNA from 1 species
UGCGCAGGUGGUUUCGUAAGUCAGAUGUGAAAUCCCCGGGCUUAACCUGGGAAUGGCAUUUGAGACUGCGAAGCUGGAGUACGGCAGAGGGAGGUGGAAUUCCACGUGUAGCAGUGAAAUGCGUAGAUAUGUGGAGGAACACCGAUGGCGAAGGCAGCCUCCUGGGCCAGUACUGACGCUCAUGCACGAAAGCGUGGGGAGCAAACAGGACUUAGAUACCCUGGUAGUCCACGCCCUAAACGAUGUCAACUAGUUGUCGGAAAGGUGACUUUCUUGGUAACGCAGCUAACGCGUGAAGUUGACCGCCUGGGGAGUACGGUCGCAAGAUUAAA